rnacentral:tmRNA from 1 species
GGGGAUGAUCGGUUUCGACAUUGUUCAUAUACGUGGUGGGAAGCGGGUCGAGGAUGCAGGGUUAUCUCGUAAACGCCCCCUGCAAAACUAUAGGUGCCAACGCAAAGCGCACCGACUUCGCCCUCGCUGCAUAAGGCGAGCCCGAAGUCCGUCAGACCCGAGUUGCUCUCGCUCGGGACCCUGGCGUCGUUUUGAGAGCUCGCUGCACUACUGCGUCACAGGGUAGUGCGGGACUUUUCCUGUGACUGGGCCUGUCGUCCUAGAUGUCUGUGACAAAGGGCGGGGCCGAGUAGAACGAAUACCCACAGACUGCACCCGGAGAAGCCUCACUGUGUGGCAAUGGACGGGGGUUCGAUUCCCCCCAUCUCCACAA